rnacentral:rRNA from 1 species
GACGAACGCUGGCGGCGUGCUUAACACAUGCAAGUCGAACGGAAAGGCCCUGCUCUUGUGGGGUGCUCGAGUGGCGAACGGGUGAGUAACACGUGAGUAACCUGCCCUUGACUUUGGGAUAACUUCAGGAAACUGGGGCUAAUAUCGGAUAGGAGCUCCUGCUGCACGGUGGGGGUUGGUAAGUUUCGGCGGUUGGGGAUGGAUUCGAGGCUUAUCGGCUGGUUGGUGGGGUAGUGGCUGACCAAGGCUUUGACGGGUAGCCGGCCUGGGAGGGUGACCGGCCUCAUGGGGCCUACGGUACGGCCCAGUCUCCUACGUGAGGCAGCGGUGGGAAAUAUUGCGCAGCGGUCCGGAGCCAGUUACGAAGACGCCGGGUGCGGAAUACUCGCUUUCGAGUUAAAAACCAAUUUCGACUGUACCGUGGCCUUCGUGACGGUAAUGGGUAAGAAAGCACCGGCUAACUACGUG